rnacentral:lncRNA from 1 species
UUAGCUUAGGCUGAAUCUGCUAUAGAAGCCAACCCACUGUGCUCCUUAAAGUGUUACGGAAUUUAUUUAUUCAUUUCCCAGAAAGAAAAAAUAAUUUGCAGUCAGCAUUAAAUUAUCAUUAUUUCUUUGGGAAUUUUUUUAAGUCUUCCAAAGAGAAUAUAAGCACCACAACUUUGCCAGUACAGGAAGAACUUGAAAAAAAGGGAUGUUUCUUCUGUUAGACAUGUAUGGUUUUAUAAAUCUAUUUUACACACAUUUUUGGUCAGUAAAUUAGAUAAUGCAUUUGGGGAGACUGGAAAUAUCUCUGACUCCAAAAUAAGAGAAAUGAGUUUCUCUUUGUAUAGUGCUCCACAAACUGUAAGGUGUGACUCACAGUUUCUUUCAUGGGUUCACUGCAAGGGGACCCCCCCUCACCUUAAAUGUGUAUCCCCAGAUACUUCUUAACCAGGAUAUAAACUCCUAUCCAUAGUUUCUGGGGCUAUUCCCAACAAUGGUAGGUCAGAAUGAAAAGAGACCUUGCUUGCUCCUGCCUGCCCAAUAAAUACUGAUUUACCACCAGGCAAGGACAGUCGAAUUAAAGCUGCGGGACAGACCAGGAGCUUCCUUCUCUUCUCUGAGCCUCUCAGCACAAAUCUGGAGCCAAGAAGGAAGGCACAGGAUGAAGAUUAGGA